rnacentral:lncRNA from 1 species
AACGGUUAUUCUUAUACUCAGUUCCAGCCAGGCAGACUUCCUGCUCAUCAGCAGAUCCCCCUUUUCAGCCUGUAACUCUGAUGUGCUCUGGAUCAGCUUUUAACUCUUAAUAAUAUAUUAAUAUUCUCUAAACCCCUUCUCCUCCUUUACUGCUUCCCUAUGGUUCUGGCUUCUAUCUGCAGCACAUUUAUCUUCAAAGUAUCAUAUACUUCUAAUCUCUGGAGGCUGGCAGCUUGACUUGGCACUUCAGGGCCCCUUAGCAGGGUGAGCUGUUAAAACAGCACACAUCUCUCACCCCCUUUCCCUCUAUUCCCCCUGGGUUUAGGAAAGGAAGGAUACAUGGGGACCACCUCCUGCCUCUUCACCUCACCACCUUCCUCAGUCCCUCUCCCAACACCUCCAUAAGGUUCUCAGUGGUGCUCACUUGCUUUGCAAGCAGGCUCCCAACAGGGAGGGAGCUACUGUCUACAUGGUCUCUCUGACCAUAAGACAGGGUUCUAUAUCAGUGAGAAAAGUCCCAGACUAGUGGCAGAAAUUUGCACUUUGAACAUGUGUGUUUUUGUGUUGUGGAACCUGAGAUUCCUUAUUUAUUAACAAAGUCUGAUUUCUCUUUUUUUUUUUUUUUUGUCUUUGUUGCUAUAUUUUGUGGGGCUGGGAGAGAUUAGACUAUUCUGACAUGGGGUCCUUUGCAUAAGAGGUACUUGUAGAAGGCAAGAUAUAGGGUUGAAGAAGCACAGCCAGCCUCUAAAAUCAUAGCUCUCUAGUGGCCUUUAAAGAAAGCUGGUCCUCAGCACUCACAAAAUCACUACAGUAGCCUAGUGCUUUUCCGGAAACCUCUUUAGGGAAGGAUGUUAGGUUUGUGGUAAUUAGUGGUCUGAGUUUUUAGAGCAUCGAGAUUUAGGAAUUUUGAGGGGGUCAGGAAGGUGGUUCAGGGUCUGAAUUAUAGAUAAAAGGUUUUCUCUUGUGAAUUUGUUGAUUUUCUUUUUUGUCCCCAUCAUUUCUUUAUACAGACCUCCCUGUUAUCCCAGCUCUGGCCCCUUGCUUGCUUUGGCUUAGGCUUUGGCUUUGGCUUUGGCUUUGGCUUUUGCUUUGCUUUGCUUUAUCAUUGGUUGAUUCCAGCUCCCAAUUAGUGAAGGACACUGCCAUCAGUGAAGGAAUAGUCUGAGUCAUACAGUUGUAAGUAAAAGAAAAUUGCUCUGUUUUGUUUCCCUUUUAAUAACAUUUCAGAAGAAGAAAGCCUUCAACAAAGUUAAUCUGUAUAAUGCUUUGGUUUUCACCUGAAAUUGUAGGAAUUAUCAUUUCCCUCGAGGUAGGGAUUUUCAUGGGGUGGAUUACUUACUGUCCAUGGGAAGGACAGUUUUGUACAGCUUCAUAACUUCCAGAAGACCAAAAACAUAUUUUGGCCCAUUUUUAGAGAAUUAGAAGGGCAGUCUCUCCUACGUACCUCAGAAACUGGAAUUAAAGGCUUGCCCUAUUCAUUCUUUGUCAGAAAUGUAUGAUGGCUGUUGGAAAGAAUGAAGUUUUGCUGAGAACAAAAUAAGGAACAGCUUGUUUUUCACAAACACUAAAACUACAAAGUUUAUCAGUUUUCUCUCUUGAUUUUUUUUUUCCCCAAAAAGAAGGGUAACAAAACGUCAUCUCUGAAAGAGGCUUACUUUACACCCACCUUGUGUCAGUGGUUGGGAUGCCAGGGAAUAGGGAGUGAAACACCUCCAGUGAGCAGUCUUAAAUGUACUGUUGUUUCUUUUCAGUGUUGCAGAUUUGCCAUCCCCUUCAGUGUGAGGGUAGAAAAUGGAAUAAGGUUAGAAGGGAUAUAGAGUAUGCUUUCCUGCUCACAGUAAGGAUUUGGAGAUGACUUUGGUAUGUUGAGUAAAUUUGAAAAUAUUACAAGAUUGACUGGAUGGAUCUAAAACAAAGUUGUUCCACUCCCGUAUUAAGUCCAUUUUGUACUGUUUCACUAGCUAGCAUCUAUACCCCACUUUACUUUUUGUCUUCGUCACAUUUAUCUUAUCCUUUGUCUCCAUAAAUUACAUUUGCAGUUGUUAGCCAUCAGAUGUUUUAGCCACCUACACAAAAGCAAACUGCAUUUAAAAAAAAAAAAAACUUUAUGAGAUAGAGGGAAAAUAUAUUCUUCCCUGUAUCACACUCCUCCCCACCAAAAGCAGCUAGUUAGUUCUCAGAAACUUUCUCCUUUCUCCGUUUUUUACUCAUUUUCAUUUGCCUAUAAUUUGCUUCCAUAAAUUAUUACAGCAGUUUGCGAUAAAUUUUAAAAUAUUUUUCACAGACUUAAGAUUUUUUCCUUUUGAGAAAAGGGGUGCUAGCAAAGUAAAGAGUUGGUUAAAGUAAACUAUCUUAUACUAGAUUCUUUUCCCUUUUCCAUUCUGCUCCUCAUACGUUUACUUCAUUGUCCUUCUAAGGAACUCUUAAUCUUAAAAUUCUACAUUUCCUACUCUUUUUUUUUUUUUGCGAUACGCAGCCCUCUCACUGUUGUGGCCUCUCCCGUUGCGGAGCACAGGCUCCGGACGCGCAGGCUCGGCGGCCAUGGCUCACGGGCCCAGCCGCUCCGCAGCAAGCGGGAUCCUCCUGGACCGGGGCACGAACCUGUGUCCCCUGCAUCGGCAGGCGGACUCUCAACCACUGCGCCACCAGGGAAUCCCAACAUUUCCUACUGUUAAUCAAAUUCUGCUACCUUUUUAAUAACUCUUCCCACAGCAUAUUCUCCAUCUUGAAUUAGCAAUUCUAAAUUCUGAAAAUGUACUUAAUACAAAUAUUAUUUCUACAAGAUAUAGAAAUACAUCUUGUAGAAAUACAUCUUUCCCCUUGUUUGUGGUUGCCCAGGGUUAUUUUGUAAAAUUGAGACUUAAUAUGCUUCAGAGAAUUUAGAUAAACACUGGCCAAGAUUACUGGGAGUAAAAAUAGAUACACUGAGGUAUGGAAAAGCAUUCACAUAGAGCACUUGAACUUCCUUAGAACCUGUUCGGAGAAAAAAAUAUAAAGAGUGUACUAAACCUAACUAAGGUUAUUACAGUCUGGCUGUUUGAAGCACCAUUUUUCCCUCCUGUCUUUUUCCCACUUUCCAGUGUACUCAAGAAAACUGAAAAAUUGUAAUGAAUCAGUUUAAAAUAUUUUAUUUCCUAGAAGCCUUUUUUGCCUGUUGUAAUAUGCAGGACCCUUCUCCUUUGGUCGGAGAGACAGGUAGUUACCUGAAUCUAGGUUGAAAAGGUUAUGUAAAAAGAAAUUAUAAUAAAAGGGAUACUCUGCUUUUCAAAUCCUUGUUUUCUCUUAAUCUAGGUAAGGCAUAUCCAAAAUAAAUAUGU